CGUAGGGUCCAAGCGUUAUCCGGAAUCACUGGGCGUAAAGCGUGCGUAGGUGGGUAAUUAAGUGCGAUGCGAAAUCCUGUGGCUCAACCAUAUGGACUGUACCGCAUACUGGUUAUCUAGAGGAUAUGAGAGGCAAGUGGAAUUACCGGUGUAGCAGUGAAAUGCGUAGAUAUCGGUAGGAACACCAAUGGCGAAGGCAGCUUGCUGGCAUAUUUCUGACGCUAAGGCACGAAAGCGUGGGGAGCGAACAGGAUUAGAUACCCUGGUAGUCCACGCCGUAAACGAUGCAUACUAUUAGUAUGGAGCAUCGACCCUCUGUGCUAAGAAGCUAACGCGUUAAGUAUGCCGCCUGGGGAGUACGAUCGCAAGAUUA
rnacentral:rRNA from 1 species